GAAGGAAGAUUUUCAUCAUUUUCUUGUCGGGGGGCGGCGGGGGUGUGAGGGGAGGAAGGAAGAUGAUGAAGUAGGAGAGAGAAAAAGGGAGACUCGGGUGGCGACUUCUUCCUGGAUCAAGCUCGGUGAUGGGCUCUGCGCACACGAGACGUCCUAUUUAUUCGGAAAUCGGAAGGCAGGCAGCCAAUUAUCCUCUCGCUUGAAAUGGAUUGGAUGUCUUCGAGUGGUAAAGUCACUUAAAUUCACAGCAGAAGGGUGAAUGGAUGCCACGAUUGGACGUCUGUCAUCGUCUUGAGAAGGGAGAGCAAAAGGCUAUAAUUGGAGCCAUCAUCUGCGGCUGAGAGGCUAAAUGAGGGAUCCCUCGACUCCGGGAUUACCCUUCUUCUCUCUCUCCAUUUUUUUUUUCAUAUUGGGAAGACGUACCCCGCGUUAAGCCCCCGCCAGCGACACGUACUCCUCCAGCGCGGCCCUCUUUCACGUCCAAAUGUGUCCUGUCAGGGAGGCUUAGCGCAAAUCUACAUAAUCCCCUUUCAUCGCAAUUAAAGAUAGCAGUGAACAAUAAAAUUGCUUGCUCUCUGGUUUGUUUCGUGCGGCUUUGAGGCGGCCAAAGGUGACACGCCGCUGACAAUAUACCCAAGUUUUCCGCACACGCGUGACAAAUGAGAGAAAAAGAGAGCAUUGAGCAUUAGAAAACCCAGUAGAGGCCGACUUGGCCUUUCCCAAGACAAACACUCCUAAUAUUCCCGAGCAAUGGCCGAUUUGGCCUUUCCUCCAUGACUCAUGUGAUAGUUUGUGUCAGUUAAAGUCAAGCUACAUUUAUUUAAUUACAUUUAUUUAUGGAGUUUGACACUUUUUACACAUUUUUUAAUUCACUUCUCCUAUACUCCACACAUAACGACAGAAAGAAUGGCCCAAAUGUGUACAUUGUUUUGAAGAAAAAAAAAAAAAAAAAGCAUUUUAGAACUGCAAUUUGAGUGUAAAGCAGGAAUUGUGUCUAUAGUUUAGAAGGACUGAAUCAGGGGCAUGGAGUAUGGAUUGUGGUCAUUGUUUCUGAAGUUAAUGUGUGUCUAGUGGUUGCAUUUCCAUAUGAAUGGCUGUUGUCUGUCCGACAACGACUUUCCAAUUCAAAAGCACUUGGGUAAUUUUUGCCACCUUGGGUUGGUCAUUUUUGGGUUUUCCGGGGGAGAGGCCAUAUCGGCCAUUGUUUGGGACUAGUAGGAGUACCAGAAUUCUCUGGGACUUCUCGUGUUAAGAAUAUUGUACUAGUUCGUUAGAGAGGUCGAAAAUCGGCAGUAUUAUGUGCACUGGAAACAUUGCUAGUUCAAAAAUGAGUGAAAACAAUUUUUUUUUUACACAUUGUCUUUGCUUAUAACAGUGUUGCACCAAUGCCGGUUUUGCACCGAUACUGAUACUAGUUUGAUUUUUACGAUUAUGAUUAGUGUUGCAGCGAUACAAUUUUUUGGCCCCAAUACCGAUACCUUGCUGUGCAGUAUCGGCAGAUACCGAUACCAUACCGAUACCACUUUGUUUGAAAUUAUAUAAACUGUAUAUAUAAUAGAUAUGAAGUGAACCCAGUUGAACUUUUUAUUGCAUACCUGUUAUGGGUGACAAUUAGGGUUGUUCCGAUCAUGUUUUUUUGCUCCCGAUCCGAUCCCGAUCGUUUUAGUUUGAGUAUCCGCUGAUCCCGAUAUUUCCCGAUCCGCUUUUUUUUUUUGCUCCCGAUUCAAUUCCAAUCAUUCCCGAUAAUUUUUCCCGAUCAUAUACAUUAUGGCAAUGCAUUAAGAAAAAAAUGAAUAAAACUCGGACGAAUAUAUAUAUUCAACAUAAAGUACAUAAGUACUGUAUUUGUUUAUUAUGACAAUAAAUCCUCAAGAUGGCAAUUACAUUAUUAACAUUCUUUCUGUGAGAGGGAUCCACGGAUAGAAAGACUUGUAAUUCUUAAAGGAUAAAUGUGACUUUGUAUAUUGUGACUACAUAUUGCCAUCUAGUGUAUUUGUUGAGCUUUUAGUAAAUGAAACUGUAGCCACAUAACUGUUCUGCCCAAAUGCAUGAUGGGAAGUGCAACCAUGACUGUGCAUAGUGGCACCAAUUGAUAUAUCUUCUCUGUGCUGGGGAAUAACAUAGGGUGUUAAGAAAAAGAUCAAUUACUACCUUUCUUCCCCACAUUGCCCACAUUUCUCCCCCACAUGAUAUUUCUAAUUGUAGGGAGAGGGAUUGUAAGGCUUUAGCCAAUUAAAAAAAGGCUCCAAAGGCUGCCAAAAUUCACUCGACUCAUUUUACGCUGCCAUUUAGCUCUAUAUAUAGGUAAAACGGCGCCAUUACAGAUUGAACGCGACAAUGCGUGAGUGGGUCGUGCAGCGCAUGCGUCAAUUGCGUUAAAUAUUUUAACGUGAUAAAUUUUUUAAAAAUUAAUUACCGCCGUCAAAGGGAUGAAUUUGAUAACCCUACCUUAAGCCUAAACUAAAGACUCUGGGUGAGUGUAACAUAUUAUGUUAAAUACAAAUUAAAUACAAUUAGAAAACGAUGUAAUUGAAAAAUACAUAUAUAUUAAAAAAAGGCAUGUUCGAUAUUUUUUUGCCAAUUCCGAUACUUUUAAAAUGACGUGAUCGGACCCGAUCG